rnacentral:rRNA from 1 species
AUACGUAGGUGGCAAGCGUUGUCCGGAAUUAUUGGGCGUAAAGAGCGCGUAGGCGGGAUAGUCAGUCUGUUGUAAAAGUGCGGGGCUCAACCCCGUGAUGGCAAUGGAAACAGCUAUUCUUGAGUGCAGGAGAGGAAAGUGGAAUUCCCAGUGUAGCGGUGAAAUGCGUAGAUAUUGGGAGGAACACCAGUGGCGAAGGCGACUUUCUGGACUGUGUCUGACGCUGAGGCGCGAAAGCCAGGGGAGCGAACGGGAUUAGAUACCCCGGUAGUCCUGGCCGUAAACGAUGGGUACUAGGUGUGGGAGGUAUCGACCCCUUCCGUGCCGGAGUUAACGCAAUAAGUACCCCGCCUGGGGAGUACGGUCGCAAGACUGAA